rnacentral:tRNA from 1 species
AAGAGAGAAGCAAUAAGUUGCAAUCAGUUUCGACCUGAUCAAAAGGUGGUUACACCCUCCCUUC